rnacentral:rRNA from 1 species
UACAGAGGUCUCAAGCGUUGUUCGGAUUCAUUGGGCGUAAAGGGUGCGUAGGUGGCGCUGUAAGUCGGGUGUGAAAUUUCGGAGCUCAACUCCGAAACUGCAUUCGAUACUGCGGUGCUUGAGGACUGGAGAGGAGACUGGAAUUCAUGGUGUAGCAGUGAAAUGCGUAGAGAUCAUGAGGAAUACCGGUGGCGAAAGCGACUCUCUGGACGGCAACUGACGCUGAGGCACGAAAGCGUGGGGAGCAAACAGG